rnacentral:lncRNA from 1 species
UUUAUUUCAUUGACAUCAGUAACACUAUUCACAGAGAAUUCAUUCCAGAAGGUUAAACACUCAACCAGGCUUGUAAUAUAGGAAUCUUGAAGUUUUUGAGAAGGUUUCUGCUACACACAAGGAGUAAAAUGUGACCCUUUGCUCAGUUACUGAGUUGUGGUGUUCUCCUGGGGACAAUUUAAGUCUUCUUUUAAAGGCAAAGAGGUCAGUCUCCCUACUCCCCAGCCUCUCGGCGUCUGUGGUUGCCAUCCCACUGUGGCUCUGGAUCAGAUGGCCCUACCUCACCUUGUUCUGGGAGUCUGGCACUUUUCCCCAAGAGAAUACCUCUUCCAUUCUCUGGACAGCCCUCAGCUCCAACAGCAGAGUAACACCCAUUCCCCAGCUCCCCCCUCUACCACCAGGGUGAAUGGUUCAAGGGCAACUCUAAUUCCCCUUGUUCAGUGUAUUUCAGAAUCUGUGCACAGCUCCUUUAAGAAUGAGAAGAAGACAGCAGAGGAGCAAGUGUGGCCAAAGGGCUGUUAGCUGGACCAUCUCCUUCUGCGGCAUCUGGUCUGAGCUCCCCUCCGCCUGUGGGACCCACCUCUCACUCUCUGAGGAUUCCCUGAAGUCAGACCCACCUUUAGGUUCUGCCCUUUUCCCUGAGCUUGUCCUUGGUCUUUGCUCUGUUGACUUGCGCCUCUUUGACCGCAGACACGUGCAGGCCUCUGCCCUGGCCCACCUCUCCUGCAGUCCUGAUCUGGACAACUGUUGGCUCCACUCUGUCCCCUGCUUCUGUCUGAGCCAGUGCUUGUUAACAGGUCUUUCGUGUGGCUCCUUCUUUCAUAUUUUAUGGCACUCCUUUCCUGAACUUGGCACCAAGUCCCUCUGGAACUGUCCUGGGAGAUAAUACAAUGUCACUGCUAAGGGCAACAACCGAUUGUCCCUCUUCCUCAAUGAUCUGCCAGUGUCCGUGAGCUGAACUCUCUCUCCGCUGGGAGAAGUCAAUGGAGGUCACUGCCCGAGAGAUUGAGGGUCAGUCUUUGUCUGCCUUCUUGACAGCUCCAAAAGUCUCAUGUUUCUGAUGAGAUCUGCUGAAGCUUUAUGGAGAGAAAAACCCAAGUGGUUCAAGCCGGCGUGCCUGGAUUCCCCUGGAAACAGCAGGAAGGCCCUUUCUGGGGGCUAUUUGUUAAAAUCGGUUACAGUGCAUUCCAGGAGAGAUGUUCCAAUGGCAGCCUUGCCGGAAUAGGAGCGAGAACAUGGAACGUGGAGUCAGUCAACCCAAGUUUCAAUGGGCAGAAGCAGCUCCUCACUUUCCAAACGAACAACCUUGUGCAAGUCAUCAAAACUCCCCGAGCCUUCGCUUCAUCAUCUAUAAAAUGAGGAUGAAAAGAAGACCUUUCUGACGGUGCUGGUUUGAAGAUCAAAUAAAAUAAUGAAUGUGAAAGU